GAACUUGCAAAGCGUUGCUGGAAAAGACGGGAGUUCUACUGACACUCCAGUCCAAAGCUAGGUGGGACCGCCUCCUGUCGCACGUUUCCGCCUGGUCCCGCGCUUUAGGAGCUAGGAAAUGUGACAGAGGCGGUGCCUACUGCCUCGCUAGGAAUGGCCGCGGAGGAGGACUGGUCACGUGGCGUGGCUUCCGGCCUCUGGCGCGUUCCUAUUCGGGAAGGUUUUAAAUGCGGAGUCAUCUCUUGAUUUGUCAGCGAGGCUUUGACUGUGAGCUUCGCGGCGUUCGCGCCUCACCGCCUCACCGAGGGGGGUACGCUGCGAAGACUAGGCUUAUGUUACCCAGAGGUUAGUCCUCUACUAGGCCACGUACUUUAAAUAAUUUAUCACGCUAGUGGAAAUGCGGGGUGGAAGAAAACCCCACCAGCCUUUGGAUUGUAACAGCACAGUAACUUUCCCUGGUUUUUAAAAAUAUUGCCAAAAUACUGCGACUCCAUGUGGCCAACGUAUAGUGACUGAUCACUUUGAAAUGCAUGCCCUUGACCCACCAACUCGCAUGGCCUCUCGCUAUAAGAGAGCAAGCCGGCUGUGUUCCAUGUUCAAUUCAAUAAGUGCAAUUCAAUAAGCUUUUGACUUGUUCUGCCCAAGCAAAUCCUGCCUUUAUAUCGACCUUGCAAGCAGAACAGAGAAUGCUGUUUGGAAGGCAGAAUUCAUAGUACCUAGUUUUCUUGUCCCUGGGAAUUUUGAGGGACUUGAAAUGUCGCGUGGAUGAGUGAGGGAGUUUGUCUUCCAGAGACAAAGCAAAACGAAACGUCAAAGUUCUGUGCUGGUGAAACCAGAUUUGAAGAAUAUCAAAGGCGUCUUACCAAAGAGGAAAAAAAAUGCAUCUUGCCAAGACUUGAAGAAAGGGAUUAGAGAAACCAGAGGCCUUGAAUACUCAGAAAAUGGGAGAUUGUGAAUGGGUGUAGAGGAUAUCUAUGAACCUUGACAUUUCUUUUCACGCCAAGUCCAUUCCCCUGUUAACAGUUGCUUCCCAGUUUCCUGCACAGCUGCAUGGUCUGGGACACUUAAAGAAAAAAAUCACAGGAAAUCAGUGUUCUUGGUAUAUUAUAUAAAGUUAUGAUUCUA
rnacentral:lncRNA from 1 species